AUGCUAUUGAUCAUCAGUGAUUUGAGGGCUGAGCUGGGACAGCUUUUCAAAAGAGUUAAAUCUCAAAUACAUGUAUUUGAGCAGAACAAGGCUAAAAAAGAAGAACUCCUCCAAAAGAAGGUGGAUCUUAAGAUCAGAGCAGCUUCAUUGCAUGGUGUCUUCAGCCAAGAAAAAGAAGAUCUGCUACAGAAGAUACUGCUGGCUGAGGAGCAGCUGGACCUGGCAAAGCGAUGCUAUGAAAAGCUGAAAAACGAACAUGAACUCUAUAGUGAACAAUUAGAAGCAUAUGUCAAAGAAGAAGAAUAUUACCGUCAGGAAAGAGACAAGCUUAAUGAAGACCUUGAACAUUUAUCCAACAUGCUCACUGAGAAGCUCGACGGUAUAGCCUGGCGGUACAUGGAGACAAGAACUAUAGAAGAAGAGAUAGAAAGACUACAGGAAGUCUAUGAAUCGUCACAGAAUACCUAUGCAAAUGAGAUAUCAAAUCUGGAGAUGACAUUACAGAAAGAAGGAGAGAGAAGGGAAAAGUUGCAGAAUCAACUAGAAGAAAUUAAUGCACUGUAUCAGAAGCUGAUAGCUCAACAUGAGGAAUUACUGAAAAGUUCAAAGGAGGAUGGUGGAGCUGCAAAAGAACAGCUGAGUUUCUUAACUUCGCAGAAUGAAGAACUCGACAAAGAAAUAAAGAAGUAUGAAGAAGAGAUGAAUCAUCUCGCUGCCAAGCUAAAGAAAAAACAAGCGGAUUAUAAGAAACGUGAUGCCAACUUGGAGGCAGAGAUCCAGAAACUUGAGGAAUUAUAUCACUCUAAACUGAAACAGAUGCUAGAAAUGAAAGAAGAGCUACAAGAGAAGCUCCCGGUGGCAGAGGAACUGGCAAUCGAAUGUGAGAGAAGAAACACUGUUUACACUACUCAAAAGGAUUUGUGUAAAGAAUUGCAAGACGAAGAACGCAUGCUAAAAAAGGCCAUUGAGCAUUCCAUACAGGAGAUCAGCAAACUCAAACGACAAAAGUUUCAGGCAAAGAAUGAAAUCAAGAAGAACAGGGAGAUGACAAUUGUACAGCAAAAACAGUUCUCAAUCUCUCUAAAGUAUAUUGAGAGAGACAACUAUGAGGUGGACAGACAGCUCUACCUUUUGCAUGGAGAAAAUGCCAGAUUAAGAGCAGGCAUUGCAUAUUUCAAAGAAGAUAUUUCCACAAUGGAAAAGGAGAUAAAAGUCUAUCAGUCAGAGAGACAAAACAUCUAUAAAAAUAGAAGAGAACUUUAUGAUCAUUUCAUCAAAAAAUGGAUAAAAGAUGAGAACCUUAAUAAGAUGUUUUGUAAUUAUCAAAAUGACAUCUUGAAAAUUUUGGGAGACUAUAUCAAAAGAAACAGAAGACGAAAUGACAAGCUUGACAGCAUUCAUGAUGGGCUACGGCUAAAUUGUGAUGAAAUUGAGUGUAUGCUGCUAAGUAAAUCACCAACUGAAUCUGAAAAGGUAAUUUUAGUUUUACUGUGUAACCUAAGUGCUUAA
ensembl:lncRNA